rnacentral:rRNA from 1 species
AUGCUGAUGGUUAAAUCGGGUGAUCGUGUCUGUAAUUAACUUUUGCCGUUCGGGACUUUGACGAAAUGGAGCGAUUCGGCCCGUCUUGAAACACGGACCAAGGAGUCUAACAUGUGUGCAAGUGUUAGGGUUGGAAACCCCAGCGCGAAAUGAAAGUAAAGGUCUGAGGUAGGAAACCUUUCUCCUAAAGAGGGGUGGCACUAUCGACCGAUCAUGAACCUUCGUGGUGAAAGAUUUGAGUAUGAGCACAUAUGUUGGUACCCGAAAGAUGGUGAACUAUGCCUGAGUAGGGUGAAGCCAGGGGAAACUCUGGUGGAAGCUCGUAGCGAUUCUGACGUGCAAAUCGAUCGUCAAACUUGGGUAUAGGGGCGAAAGACUAAUCGAACCAUCUAGUAGCUGGUUCCCUCCGAAAUUUCCCUCAGGAUAGCAGCAACUUAUAUACGAUAGUUUUAUGAGGUAAAGCGAAUGAUUAGAGGACUCAGGGAAGAAACUUCCUUGACCUAUUCUCAAACUUUAAAUCUGUAAGACCUGCAGGUUUCUUAAUUGAACUUGUGGAUGUGAAUAUCAAGUUGUUAGUGGGCCAUACCGGGUAAGCUGGUCUGGCGAUGCGGGAUGAACCGAACGCAAAGUUAAAGUGCCAAAGUACCCGCUCACCUAGAUACCAUAAAAGGUGUUGGUUCAUCUAG